CUGCCCGUGUGGUCAGGUGGCCCGCGGGCAUCCUCAGCUCCUGCAGGCGCGGUCCAGGCCGCACCAGUGCUUCUGCAGCUGCCGCAUAAAGGUGCUGCAAUUAAUAUUGAUGCCAAAACAUGAGUCUUAAUGCUAUAUCCUGAGAUACCCCUAAAAAAGAGAAGAUGGAGUUGAGUGAAGAGUGAUGUAGCUCCCAGAAGGAAGAAGGUCUAAAAGCCAAGGACGAGGGACAGCGCGCCCUUGGAGGUGGUGUGCGGAGGAGGGCCGUCUGCAGUGUGGACGCGGGAGGCUGGGACCCAGGGAAAGACACUCAAACCAAAGAAGUCUAGGCCAGCAUAUGAAGACCCUUCCGGAAGAGCUCAGCCUCCUCUAGUCUUUCCCGCUCUCUGUUCGGGGUGAGCAGGAGGGAGGAGAGAAGAAAGCCCAGAAGUAAAGCCUGCAGCAGUCUUCCAGAACCCUGAGCACUGGCCCACGGGACCUGAGAGGAAAGAGGGAUGCUGACCCCUCUCCCCACAAGAGAGGACUCGCAGCUUGAGUUGUUCUCGUAGGACAGAGACAAUAGAAGAAACUGUGCUGAGCCAUCAAACAGAAAAGAAAGGAGAAGGAAAGGAACGGAGAGGGAGCUGCAGUGUGACGCCUCCCGCGUGACUCCUACCUGGCAGAUGAAGCUGGUGGCUGACAGGCGCCUUCAGUCACAGCAGGUGUCUUCUUUGCCACAUUUCCAGUUCAGGUCUGACAGACUCAGGGCUGCGAACUCACAUGACUCCAGGAAAAGUUCACGGGUCUGUGUGAGUGUGGACGGUUCUCCCCAAAGCCUGGAUGCAGGAAUGGUCAGGUACGAGGUACAGCAGGAGAGGAUGGACCCAGCACCUCGGAACCAGCUUGAAAACACAGUCAUCAGUGACAAGAAUCGCCUAGACAAGGAGAUGGUUUUCCUUGAUGCAGUGUGACUCGGCUGGCCUCUGACUUCCUCGGAGAAGCCAGGAAGCAGAAACGACCAGGAAGAGUUACAAAGUGGAAGAAAGGAAGAAGCAGGAGGGCAGAAUCAUUGGACUAUUGGAUGAGGCACAAAGGGACCACUGAAAGGGGACGUGGAAGAUGACCGAAGGCAGUUUUCUGGCAAAGAUGAUGAGACGUCUCCCACAGGGAGAAGGGACUAGACAUUCGGGACGUGGAACCAGAUCUAGCCCAUGCUGGAAGGGACCAUGAAAGAUGCGAGGGGACUCACGAGGAUUUCCGAAGUAGCCACCAGGUAAUUCUCAAUCAAAUCCUACUUCAGAGGAAGAAUUUUGCCAAGCUGUGAAUAGCUGGCAAAAGUUACUUUUUAGCACGGC
rnacentral:lncRNA from 9 species